UGGCGAGUGGUGUAGUGGUAACACAAAGGUCUUUGGAACCUUCGUCCCAGGUUCGAAUCCUGGCUCGCCAGCCA
rnacentral:tRNA from 1 species